GGGAUAGAAUUCCAGGAGUAGCGGUGAAAUGCGUAGAUAUCUGGAGGAAURCCAAAGSCGAAGKCAGUCCCCUGGUCCGAUACUGACACUGAGGUACGAAAGCGUGGGGAGCAAACAGGAUUAGAUACCCUGGUAGUCCACGCCCUAAACGAUGUCGAUUAGCCAUUGGAAGGACCCCUUUUCCUUUCAGUGACGUAGCUAACGCGUUAAAUCGACCGCCUGGGAAGUACGACCGCAAGGUUAAAACUCAAAGGAAUUGACGGGGACCUGAACAAGCGGUGAAUGAUGUGGAUUAAUUCGAUGCUACGCGAAGAACCUUACCUACCUUUGACAUGGCCAAAGUUCUACCGAGAGGCGGAAGUACUCGUAAGAGGAUUGGCGCACAGGUGCUGCAUGGUUGUCGUCAGUUCGUGUCGUGAGAUGUUGGGUUCASUCCCGCAACGAACGCAACCCUUAUCUUUAAUUGCUCCUAUUUUAACAGGCACUUUAAAGAAACUGCCAAUGAUAAGUUGGAGGAAGGUGGGGAUCACGUCAAGUCCGCAUGRCCUUUAUAGGUAGGGCUUCACACGUCAUACAAUGGUUAGAACAAAGAGCUGCAAAUUCGUAAGAAGGAGCCAAUCUCACAAACCUAACCUCAGUUCGAAUUGCGGUCUGCAACUCGAGCGCAUGAAGCCGGAAUCGCUAGUAAUCGUGGAUCAGAAUGCCACGGUGAAUACGUUCUUAGGUCUU
rnacentral:rRNA from 1 species